rnacentral:rRNA from 1 species
UGACCGCUGGCGGCGUGCCUAAUACAUGCAAGUCGAGCGAACGGACGAGAAGCUUGCUUCUCUGAUGUUAGCGGCGGACGGGUGAGUAACACGUGGAUAACCUACCUAUAAGACUGGGAUAACUUCGGGAAACCGUAGCUAAUACCGGAUAAUAUUUUGAACCGCAUGGUUCAAAAGUGAAAGACGGUCUUGCUGUCACUUAUAGAUGGAUCCGCGCUGCAUUAGCUAGUUGGUAAGGUAACGGCUUACCAAGGCAACGAUGCAUAGCCGACCUGAGAGGGUGAUCGGCCACACUGGAACUGAGACACGGUCCAGACUCCUACGGGAGGCAGCAGUAGGGAAUCUUCCGCAAUGGGCGAAAGCCUGACGGAGCAACGCCGCGUGAGUGAUGAAGGUCUUCGGAUCGUAAAACCCUGUUAUUAGGGAAGAACAUAUGUGUAAGUAACUGUGCACAUCUUGACGGUACCUAAUCAGAAAGCCACGGCUAACUACGUG